rnacentral:rRNA from 1 species
AGAGUUUGAUCCUGGCUCAGAUUGAACGCUGGCGGCAUGCCUUACACAUGCAAGUCGAACGGUAACGGGCCUUCGGGUGCCGACGAGUGGCGAACGGGUGAGUAACAUAUCGGAACGUACCAUUCAGUGGGGGAUAACGUAGCGAAAGUUACGCUAAUACCGCAUAUUCUGUGCGCAGGAAAGCAGGGGAUCGCAAGACCUUGCGCUGAUUGAGCGGCCGAUAUCAGAUUAGCUAGUUGGUGAGGUAAAAGCUCACCAAGGCGACGAUCUGUAGCGGGUCUGAGAGGAUGAUCCGCCACACUGGAACUGAGACACGGUCCAGACUCCUACGGGAGGCAGCAGUGGGGAAUUUUGGACAAUGGGGGCAACCCUGAUCCAGCCAUGCCGCGUGAGUGAAGAAGGCCUUCGGGUUGUAAAGCUCUUUCAGCCGGGAAGAAAACGCACGGGUUAAUACCCUGUGUGGAUGACGGUACCGGAAUAAGAAGCACCGGCUAACUACGUGCCAGCAGCCGCGGUAAUACGUAGGGUGCGAGCGUUAAUCGGAAUUACUGGGCGUAAAGCGUGCGCAGGCGGUUUGGUAAGAUAGGCGUGAAAUCCCCGGGCUUAACCUGGGAACUGCGUUUAUGACUGCCAGGCUAGAGUACGGCAGAGGGGGGUGGAAUUCCACGUGUAGCAGUGAAAUGCGUAGAGAUGUGGAGAACACCAAUGGCGAUGCAGCCCCCUGGGUCGAUACUGACGCUCAUGCACGAAAGCGUGGGUAGCAAACAGGAUUAGAUACCCUGGUAGUCCACGCCCUAAUCGAUGUCAACUAGGUGUUGGGAGGGUAAAACCUUUUAGUACCGUAGCUAACGCGAGAAGUUGACCGCCUGGGGAGUACGGCCGCAAGGUUAAAACUCAAAGGAAUUGACGGGGACCCGCACAAGCGGUGGAUGAUGUGGAUUAAUUCGAUGCAACGCGAAAAACCUUACCUACCCUUGACAUGUCAGGAACUUGCCAGAGAUGGCUUGGUGCCCGAAAGGAAACCUGAACACAGGUGCUGCAUGGCUGUCGUCAGCUCGUGUCGUGAGAUGUUGGGUUAAGUCCCGCAACGAGCGCAACCCUUGUCGUUAAUUGCCAUCAUUCAGUUGGGCACUUUAACGAGACUGCCGGUGACAAACCGGAGGAAGGUGGGGAUGACGUCAAGUCCUCAUGGCCCUUAUGGGUAGGGCUUCACACGUCAUACAAUGGUCGGUACAAAGGGUCGCCAACCCGCGAGGGGGAGCCAAUCCCAGAAAGCCGAUCGUAGUCCGGAUUGCAGGCUGCAACUCGCCUGCAUGAAGUCGGAAUCGCUAGUAAUCGUGGAUCAGCAUGUCACGGUGAAUACGUUCCCGGGUCUUGUACACACCGCCCGUCACACCAUGGGAGCGGGUUCC